rnacentral:rRNA from 1 species
UACGGGGGGGGCAAGCGUUGUUCGGAAUUACUGGGCGUAAAGGGCUCGUAGGUGGCCAACUAAGUCGGACGUGAAAUCCCUCGGCUUAACCGGGGAACUGCGUCUGAUACUGGAUGGCUUGAGUUCGGGAGAGGGAUGCGGAAUUCCAGGUGUAGCGGUGAAAUGCGUAGAUAUCUGGAGGAACACCGGUGGCGAAGGCGGCAUCCUGGACCGAUACUGACGCUGAGGAGCGAAAGCCAGGGGAGCAAACGGG